GAUGAACGCUGGCUACAGGCUUAACACAUGCAAGUCGAGGGGAAACGCCGGGGAAGCUUGCUUCCCCGGGCGUCGACCGGCGCACGGGUGAGUAACGCGUAUCCAACCUGCCUCUGACUGAGGGAUAACCCGUCGAAAGUCGGCCUAAUACCUCAUGGCAUCGUCUGCGGGCAUCCAACGACGAUUAAAGAUUUCAUCGGUCAGAGAUGGGGAUGCGUCUGAUUAGCUUGUUGGCGGGGUAACGGCCCACCAAGGCGACGAUCAGUAGGGGUUCUGAGAGGAAGGUCCCCCACAUUGGAACUGAGACACGGUCCAAACUCCUACGGGAGGCAGCAGUGAGGAAUAUUGGUCAAUGGGCGAGAGCCUGAACCAGCCAAGUAGCGUGCAGGAUGACGGCCCUAUGGGUUGUAAACUGCUUUUAUGCGGGGAUAAAGUGAGGGACGUGUCCUUCAUUGCAGGUACCGCAUGAAUAAGAACCGGCUAAUUCCGUG
rnacentral:rRNA from 1 species